UUUAAGCUGUAGCUACAACCCCUGCGAGGAUAUUAUAACAAUGGCACUUUAUCUGCCAUUUUACAGUUGGCAAAAAGCAUCAACUCGUAAAAUAGCUGCGGAAUUGAUACUUUUUUAGAUUCGUAGGCCAGGUAAGCAGCCUUUGAUUUGCGCUACAUGUCCGCUUCAAGAAAUAAUCCACGUCAUGGUACACAAAGUCCCCGAGAUUUUAGAAAAAAUGACCACGCUGUCGUCGGCAUUAGUUGGCACUUUUUGAGAGUUGGAAUCUAACCAAAUAAGUUGACAUGUUCAAAUUUCGUGAAUCGUCAAUGAACUUCGAAAUUUCCAACUUGACUCGAACAAAAUUAUUUUUGCAUGAACCCACCUACGAGUUUGUAAAUACCGUCGAUUUAUUAAUUUCAAUUAAAAGGCGGGAACAUAAUAAACAAAACAA